AGCGAACGCUGGCGGCAGGCUUAACACAUGCAAGUCGAGCGGGCAUCUUCGGGUGUCAGCGGCGGACGGGUGAGUAACGCGUGGGAACGUGCCUUCUGGUUCGGAAUAACUCAGGGAAACUUGAGCUAAUACCGGAUACGCCCUUUUGGGGAAAAGUUUACUGCCGGAAGAUCGGCCCGCGUCUGAUUAGCUAGGUGGGUGGGUAACGGCCUACCAAGGCGACGAUCAGUAGGUGGUCUGGGAGGAUGAUCUGCCAAACUGGGGCGGAGACACCGCCCCGACUCCUACGGGAAGCAGCAGUGGGGAAUAAUGGACAAUGGGGGCAACCCUGAUCCAGCCAUGCCGCGUGAGUGAUGAAGGCCUUAGGGUUGUAAAGCUCUUCUAUCCGGGACGAUAAUGACGGUACCGGAGGAAUAAGCCCCGGCUAACUUCGUGCCAGCAGCCGCGGUAA
rnacentral:rRNA from 1 species